rnacentral:rRNA from 1 species
CAGCCGCCGCGGUAAUGCGUAGGUGGCAAGCGUUGUCCGGAAUUAUUGGGCGUAAAGGGCUCGCAGGCGGUUUCUUAAGUCUGAUGUGAAAGCCCCCGGCUCAACCGGGGAGGGUCAUUGGAAACUGGGAAACUUGAGUGCAGAAGAGGAGAGUGGAAUUCCACGUGUAGCGGUGAUAUGCGUAGAGAUGUGGAGGAACACCAGUGGCGAAGGCGACUCUCUGGUCUGUAACUGACGCUGAGGAGCGAAAGCGUGGGGAGCGAACAGGAUUAGAUACCCGGGUAGUCCCUGUCUCUUAUAC